UACGUAGGGGGCUAGCGUUAUCCGGAUUCACUGGGUUUAAAGGGUGCGUAGGAGGGCAGGUAAGUCAGUGGUGAAAUCUCCAAGCUUAACUUGGAAACUGCCGUUGAUACUAUCUGUCUUGAAUAUUGUGGAGGUGAGCGGAAUAUGUCAUGUAGCGGUGAAAUGCUUAGAUAUGACAUAGAACACCAAUUGCGAAGGCAGCUCGCUACACAUAUAUUGACUCUGAGGCACGAAAGCGUGGGGAUCAAACAGG
rnacentral:rRNA from 1 species